rnacentral:ncRNA from 2 species
UAAGCGGACUACGGGAGCCCCUGCAGGGGCUGAGAGGACCGGAGCACCGGUCGACCGUCCACACCUGACGCGGAUCAUGCCGCCGGAGGAAAGGAACGCAUGAACACA